rnacentral:lncRNA from 1 species
UUAUUCCACUUGUCACUUUCUGUAUCAAAAUGUUCUUUUCAUAUUUCCAUCCAUUUCCCUUUUGCGGGAGGUCUGAUUCUUGUAUCAUAUGUCUGACUUCUUAAUAUUUGUAUCAUUGCUUGUUUGAAAAUGUUGGUGUAGUUGUGCCAGUAAUUCUGCUUCAGGUGGUACUUGUUGUUACAUUUGCUGCCCUUCUGGCAGUGGUACCCCCUCAGGCAUGGUAUUUGAGGGCACUGGCUAUUCUAACUGGCAUAGGUAUUAGAAGAGAGUCCAGGCUUGGCUCCAGGCUGAAUCACUCCUCGCGUAUAAGGAUCUGUGUACUACUUCCCUGUGGCUGCAUGUUACAUCACUGCACAUGUGGCAGCCCAACAUAUAGCACACGUGUGUGUCACCUCUCAGUUUCCCUGGGUCAAAUGUCUGGGUGCAGCUUAGCCAGGUUUCUCAUCCUCACGAGGCUUCAGUCCAGGUGUUGGUGGGGGCUAUGCCCUCAGCUGAGACCCCUGCACCCUCUGCUGGGUUCUCUAAGCUGGUAUGUUUGCUGGCAGAAUUCACUUCCUUGCAGCUGUGUGGCUGAGGCUCUUGGCUCAGUGGCAAUAAAUGAAGACCAAAUGGGAACAAGGAAAGACCAUUUAUUUAGAGCUUUCAAUAGCAAGGGAGUCGGCCACCAUUAUUUGCAUUUGGCAGGGACUCAAAGGCAGGUAGAGGGGCGGGAAAGCUUGACAAUGGAGCAAAGAGGCAGCUUCAGGUCAGGUGUGCCCAGACUGGGGCCGCUGGACUGGGGAGACUGGAUGCAGCUGACCAGCUGUGGCUGGCUCGGGAGCUUGUUGGCCUCUGCUUGGUCCCACAUUGGAAAUCAGGACAAAAUCAGGAGGCUAUCAGUUAUUAAUCAAGUUCUGAUUGUUUUGUCAAAGGGAGUUUUAACUUCUCUCCUUUCGUACAACACAAGUUCUGGGCAUUUUGGAUCAGUGGUUACAGGGGUCAUGGUUUUGCUUCCUGGACCAGUGGCUAGAGGCAAUGGUCUGAUUUCCUACAGGUCUGACUUGUACAUGGCAGCCGACUUCCUGGUUGCUAUAGGUGGG